CACACACACACACACACUACAGGCGUUGAAGUCAUGCAGGAUGUUGUAACCUAGCCCGGGUAUUGUUUAUUUUUGGCGUGAAUAUUUCCCAAGCUAAUUUCCCCAGAUCUACUGUCGUUCCCAUUCCCUGCAGCAUGUCGCUGAAGCCUUUUUGUGUUAUCCAGACUCUGUGUUCUCCUCCUUCUCGUCCUACUCUUCCUCCCUCUCCUCCUCCUCAGAAUGAGAUAAAAAAUGAAAUGAGCACAGCUCACCUUUUAUCCCGAUCCGUGAAAUAAGGCUUGCUUUGUGUUUCCGAUCGCUGCAAGUUCAAAAGGUAUUUCACUGCUUUUUACUUUGUUUGAUGCACUAAGAUAAUCAUCUCAACUGAAGUCCCCUUACUGCAACAAUGUGGAAUAUUUAAGGGGCACCGGUUGUCUUUGACGCGGAUAAUAAAGGUAACAAGCACAACAAUAAUGUCGCCUAAAUCGUCUCGGCAAAAAGAACUCAGCAGGUAGUUGUGUAAACAAGCCGAGCGAUCCUGUUGUCACACUUACAGAAAUAGAAAUCUUGACAUAGACCAAGAUAAUAAUAUUCGUGUGUGUGUCCGUGUGUGGGUGUCCGUGUGUGUGUGUGUGUGUGUGUGUGUGUGUGUGCGUGAGAAAAAAUAACAAAAUUAAUUUGAUCAGACGUAACAGCAGUGACUUUUUUUUAUUAUUUUGUAAUAUUUCUUGUGUGUGCGCUUUAUACAACAAUUUCGCUUCAUGCGCAUACUUGUGUAUGUGUCUCCAGGGUGCAUUACAGGUGGGUUAUUUGGGUUGGCAAGAGGGUGGUGGUGGUGGUAUGCGGAGUUGCUCGGCUGUGAUUGAGGCGUAUUGCGGGAAUGGAGAAUGGGUGUGGUAGACGUUGAGGGGGAGAGAGAGAUGUGUGGAACCUCUUCUCUCCGGUGAAGGUGAGCUGGAAGGAUGUGAAUCUUGAGUAGCCUGGGUGGAUGUGACUGAGAAGGCUGGGUGGAUGUGACAGAUUAGGCUGGGUGGAUGUGACUGAGAAGGCUGGGUGGAUGUGACUGAUGUGAAUGUGCCUCUGAGCACAGUUGUUGUAGUUGUGUGGUGGGGAAGACGGAUUUGUGGAAAUUCUCUCCGGUGGAUGUGACCCUGUGUAGGCUAGGGGAUGUGUGGACACGCUGGAUGGGGCUAACUUUGGUCUGGGUGAAUGUGACUCUCUGUGGUCAUGGCCAAUGUCAUAUGUGGUCAGGGUGGAUGUGACUCUGUGUUCAGGAUGGAUGUGGCUCUCUUUUGGCUGGGUGGAUGUUACUCUCUGUUGUCGGGAUGCUUGUGACUCUGGCCUGGGUGAAUGUGGCAGAGCUUGUUGGGUGUUGCUCAAUAGGGGCUGGGCGGAUGUGAUUCUCUGUAAGCUGGUAGGAUGACACUCUGUGGGCUUGGAGGAUGUGACUCUCUGAGCCGGGUGGGUAUGACUGGGCUUGAGGGAUGUGCACCCUGUGGGCUGGGUGGAUGUGACUCUCUGUGGGCUGGUAGUUUGUAACUCUCUGAGCAGGGGGGAUGUGACUGCGGGCUUGAGCGAUGUGACACUCUGGGGGCUGAGUUGAUGUGUUAACCUUGGAGGGGCUACUUCAAAAUAUUCUUCUUCUCUGUGGGGUGCCCGGAGAACAGCAGCUGCACCUCCUGGAUGUGGCUUCGCUCUCACAAAGGUGUGUGUGUGUGUGUUGGUGCAUUAGAUAUCUGCAGGUGUGUGUGUGUGAGGAGAGCUGUCUUAGCGUGCAGUCCGCUUGCCUCCUCAUCCCUGAGGGCUGCUGUAUUAGACUGGAAA
ensembl:lncRNA